rnacentral:rRNA from 1 species
GACGAACGCUGGCGGCGUGCUUAACACAUGCAAGUCGAACGGUAAGGCGCUGCGCUGGCGGGGUGCUCGAGUGGCGGACGGGUGAGUAACACGUGAGUAACCUGCCGUUUACUUUGGGGUAAGUUCAGGUAACUGGGCAUACGACCGGAUAGGGACUCCUGCGGCAUGGUGGGGGUUGGACAGUUGCGGCGGCUGGGGUUGGACUGGUGGGUUAUCAGCUUGUUGGUGGGGUAGUGGGUUACCAAGGCUUUGACGGGUAGCCGGCCUGAGCGGGUGACCGGCCACACUGGGACUGAGAUACGGCCCAGACUCCUAAGGGAGGCAGCAGGGGGGAAUAUUGCACAACGAGCGGGAGCCUGAUGCAGCGGCGCCGCGUGCGGGAUGACGGCCUUCGGGGGAAGAACCGGUUUCGCCUAAGACGAGGCGUGAGUGACGGUACUUGGUGAAGAAGCACCGGCUAACUACGUG